CAAUGGCAAGUAAAGGAUCUCCUCUUCAUGGUCCGCGCAUAAAGCUUAUUGAAAAGGCCCAAAACCUUUUCUCAGAGACUAAGGAACAUACCUUCGAGUCAAAAGCUGCUGAAGAGCAUGCAAAAUUGUUAAGAAUUCAACAUGAGUUAGAAGUGUCUACAAAGCAGGCUAUUUUUGUUGAUUCAAGUAUCAGUGAUACUAUUAGGACAUGCAUUGUAUUAGGAAAUCAUCGAGCUGCAAUGAAAGUGAAAACAGAGUUUAAGGUUUCUGAGAAGAGAUGGUAUUGGCUUAAAGUUUUCGCUUUGGCAACAAUUAGAGAUUGGGAUGCCCUGGAAAAGUUUUCCAAGGAGAAGAGGCCACCAAUUGGUUAUAGACCAUUUGUGGAAGCAUGCAUUGAUGCUGAUGAAAAAGGGGAAGCUCUGAAAUAUAUUCCAAAACUUGGGGAUCCUAGAGAAAGAGCUGAGGCUUAUGCUCGGAUUGGCAUGGCAAAGGAAGCUGCUGAUGCUGCUUCCCAAGCAAAAGAUGGGGAAUUGCUUGGACGAUUGAAAUUGAGUUUUGCACAAAACACAGCAGCAUCAUCAAUUUUUGAUACUCUCCGAGAUCGGCUGUCCUUCCAAGGCGUUUCUUAGUCAGAUGUAUCUUUUCUUCAUGUUGGAUGUUUUAUGUGUGCAUAUCAUGUGCUUAUUCUUGGGUUAAUUUCGAAGAUGGGUUUCCUUGUGGGCAUUUUCGUUUGUGCAGUAUUUACCUAUAGUUUCAAUUGAGAUUUUGCUUUCUGAUGCUCUUAUGUUUGCUGAAACACUCUUGAUUUCUUGAGUCAUGUAUGUUAGGGGAAAUUAUACAGCACAUUGGUAGCACUAAAAAAUAGUGGACCAUUAGAUAUAAAUAUUUAACUUUUUUUUUUUUUACAUGGAUCCCACAUUCCAUAAACAAGGAAAAGUUAAAUAUUUAUAUCUAAUGGUC
rnacentral:misc_RNA from 1 species